AUCCAGCUGAUGAGUGCCGAAUAGGACGAAAUGUACGUCUAGCUGGAU
rnacentral:hammerhead_ribozyme from 1 species